AGACAUCCAUGCUUCUUUACAUAUUGUCUAUGGCUAUAUUUGUGCUUUGACGGCACAAUUGAGUAGUUGUAACAGAGAUCAUAUGGUUCGCAAAGCCCCAGAUACUUACUAUCUGGUCCUUCACAGAGUUUGACCACCCCUGCACUAGACUGUAAGCUCCACAAAGAUGGGGACCCAAUCUCAUUAGCUCUUACAUCCCCAGGGCUUCAUACACUGGCUGGCACAUAAUGGAAAUUCAUACAAUCGAAAAGUAUAUGUAGGGCUCCCCAUCUAGAGGCAGUAUAUCUGGUGGUGAAGAGGAUGGAUUCUAGAGUCAGACAACACUAGGUUUGAAUCCCUCUUCCUCCACUUACUAGCUGUAUAACGUUGAGAAAUUUAAUCUCUCCAGGACUUUUUUUCACCAUCUGUAACAUUCGGGGGAAAUAUGAACAGUGGCACUUUGUUGUAAACAUUAAAAUCAGGUGAUGUAGCUAAAGACAACUUCCAUAAAUGCUAGAUAAACAUUAGCUAUUAUCAUCGUCAUCCAUAUGUAUUAUGACCGUCUCCCAUAUGUCUCUAUAGAUUAGACCUUAGGCCUCUGCAGAGACCUGGAUAUACUUCUUUCACUCCUGUCACCUCCCUCACCUCUCAGGCCCCAGAAAUUCCCAGCCCACAUCCUAAGCGAAACAGAAAAUGGAGCCUCAAAGCAAUCGAGUGACUUGUUCCCAGGAUACCCAUGGUACAGCCAGAUCUGGCACCAGGGCCUGCAGCUGCUGCCCAUACCCCAGUCAAGUCAAGAUCAAUAACAAAACAUCUGCUCCUUCAUAACACUGAGCACUCUGAGCCCGGAGCAGCAGCCAGGAGGGGCUGCAGGAGUGGUCUGAGAGUGCAGGACACCAUCCCCAGAACAGUCCACAACGUGGGAGCGGUGCCCUGAUGGGGGCCAAGAGCUUCUCCCUAGAGGUGACUCUUCAGCAUGGAUCCCCAGUGGGAUUCUCCGAAGCCGCUGGGAGCAGCAGCAAGCGCUCUGACUCCUGGAAGAGGCGUCAGUCUGGAAUGCAGAAGCCACGCUAAGGUGUUUCUUAAGCAGAUACCUGCAAAUGGAUGCAGAUCUGACCACGUCAACUCCAGAGAAAGAAAGUGAAGAUCAUACUGGUGGAGCGUGUCAGCACCAGGCCCUCUGUUAAGGUCUGUACUGUUUCGUUUAAUUCACAUGCUGGCCUCAUGAGGGAGGUCAUGUUAUUUCUCCUGCUUAUCAGGUGAGGAAACUGACACUUAGAUGUUGAAUUAAGUAACUUGCUCAAGGUCUGGGCAGCCAGUGGGGCUGGGAUUCCAACCAUGGCUUCAAAGGCUGGUCUUGAACUCCUGACCUCAGGUGAUCCUCCCGCCUCGGCCUCCCAAAGUGCUGGGAGUACAGGCGUGAGCCCCAGACACUGCCACCCUGUGUGGCAGACAAGACCAGCACCCUCCUCCAGCAGUGCACUUGCCUCACCAAUGCCAGCCAGACUGGGGAGACAGGUACGCCCCUUCCCCCACACUGGGAACUGGACCCUCCCCAGAGGGUAGCUGGAGGGCACCUGUGGGAUGAAAAAAUCAAGACGCAUCUCACUCUCCCAUGUAGGUUAGUCAGAGGCUUGAGUGAUAAACUACUCGGGCCCUGUUCCUCAGCCCACUGCAGUCCACCAGACAGGGGUGAUGACACGAGGCAGGAGCCAAGCCUUCCCUCCCCAGCUUCGAGGGGGCUGGCAGGCCUGAACCUGGUUCCCUGGACAACUGCAGGGUCAUCUCAGCAAAUAUUGAUGGAAGAAUAUUGCCAAGAGCUCAAGUCUGUGCCAGGAACUGAAGAGUCAAAGAGGCACAGAUGAAGCCACUGGGUUUACAGGGACAAGACAGCAUUCACAAGCAGAAUACAGCCCUGAGGCUACUGGGGUAUCUCAUGCGUGCUGGGUAUCGGCUAGAGCACUCCAGUAGAGAAGCCCAGGAAGGCUUCUCAGAGGAGGUGUCCUUGGCCUCCUGCAUUCAUUUGGCACACAUGAUAGCUACUGUGUUGGUGUAGCACUUUGGUGGGUAUCAGAUUCACCUGUAGAACUUGGUAAAAACACAGUGGCCUGACUCCUCUUCUCCAGCAAGCCUGGGCCUCCAGAUCGUUCUGCUACACACCAAAGUUUGAGAAGCACUAGAUCACCUCUGUGCAAUAAAUCCCUUACAGCCAAGCAGUCCCAAAGUCUCAGUGCCUGGUCCUCAUUCUCAGCUGCCUCCAGGCUCCUGGUACU